GGAUAACAGUUAGAAAUGACUGCUAAUACCGCAUAAGACCACAGUACUGCAUGGUGCAGUGGUAAAAACUCCGGUGGUGUAAGAUGGGCCCGCGUCUGAUUAGGUAGUUGGCGGGGUAACGGCCCACCAAGCCGACGAUCAGUAGCCGACCUGAGAGGGUGACCGGCCACAUUGGGACUGAGACACGGCCCAGACUCCUACGGGAGGCAGCAGUGGGGAAUAUUGCACAAUGGGGGAAACCCUGAUGCAGCGACGCCGCGUGAGCGAUGAAGUAUUUCGGUAUGUAAAGCUCUAUCAGCAGGGAAGAAAAUGACGGUACCUGACUAAGAAGCCCCGGCUAACUACGUGCCAGCAGCCGCGGUAAUACGUAGGGGGCAAGCGUUAUCCGGAUUUACUGGGUGUAAAGGGAGCGUAGACGGCGGUGCAAGCCAGAUGUGAAAGCCCGGGGCUCAACCCCGGGACUGCAUUUGGAACUGUGCUGCUAGAGUGUCGGAGAGGCAGGCGGAAUUCCUAGUGUAGCGGUGAAAUGCGUAGAUAUUAGGAGGAACACCAGUGGCGAAGGCGGCCUGCUGGACGAUGACUGACGUUGAGGCUCGAAAGCGUGGGGAGCAAACAGGAUUAGGUACCCUGGUAGUCCACGCCGUAAACGAUGACUAAUGGGUGUCGGGCAGCAAAGCUGUUCGGU
rnacentral:rRNA from 1 species